AUUGAACGCUGGCGGUAGGUUUUAAACAUGCAAGUCGAGCGGUAACAGACAUUUUGAUUCAGCUUGCUGAAUCUCGUGCUGACGAGCGGCGAACGGGUGAGUAACACGUAGGAAUCUACCCAGUAGCGGGGGAUAGCCCGAGGAAACUCGGAUUAAUACCGCAUACGCCCUACGGGGGAAAGGGGGCAUCUUUGAUGCUCUCACUAUUGGAUGAGCCUGCGUAAGAUUAGCUUGUUGGUAGGGUAAAGGCCUACCAAGGCGACGAUCUUUAGCUGGUCUGAGAGGACGAUCAGCCACAUUGGGACUGAGACACGGCCCAGACGUCUACGGACGGCAGCAGUUAAGAAUAUUGGACAAUGAGGGAAACCUUGAUCCAGCCAUACCGCGUGUGUGAAGAAGGCCUUAGGGUUGUAAAGCACUUUAAGCGAAGAAGAAGAAAAGUAAGUUAAUACCUUACUUUUUUGACGUUACUCGCAGAAUAAGUACCGGCUAACUCCGUGCCAGCAGCCGCGGUAAUACGGAGGGUACAAGCGUUAAUCGGAAUUACUGGGCGUAAAGCGCGCGUAGGCGGUUAAGUAAGUUGGAUGUGAAAGCCCUGGGCUCAACCUAGGAACUGCAUUCAAAACUAUUUAACUAGAGUGCGAGAGAGGAGAGUAGAAUUUCUGGUGUAGCGGUGAAAUGCGUAGAUAUCAGAAGGAAUACCAAUGGCGAAGGCAGCCCUCUGGAUCGUCACUGACGCUAAGGUGCGAAAGCGUGGGUAGCAAACAGGAUUAGAUACCCUGGUAGUCCACGCCGUAAACGAUGAGAACUAGCCGUUGGGGGGAAUUAACUCUUCAGUGGCGCAGCUAACGCAUUAAGUUCUCCGCCUGGGGACUACGGCCGCAAGGCUAAAACUCAAAUGAAUUGACGGGGGCCCGCACAAGCGGUGGAUCAUGUGGUUUAAUCCGAUGCAACGCGAAGAACCUUACCUACCCUUGAAAUCCAGCGAAGUUCCUAGAGAUAGGAAUGUGCCUUCGGGAACGCUGUGACAGGUGUUGCAUGGCUGUCGUCAGCUCGUGUCGUGAGAUGUAUGGUUAAGUCCAGUAACGAGCGCAACCCCUAUCCUUAUUUGCCAGCGCAUAAUGGCGGGAACUAUAAGGAGACUGCCGGUCAUAAACCGGAGGAAGGCGGGGACGACGUCAAGUCAUCAUGGCCCUUAUGGGUAGGGCUACACACGUGAUACAAUGGGUGGUACAGAGGGUCGCCAAAGCGCGAGCUGGAGCCAAACCCUUAAAACCAUUCUUAGUCCGGAUUGGAGUCUGCAACUCGACUCCAUGAAGUCGGAAUCGCUAGUAAUCGCGAAUCAGAAUGUCGCGGUGAAUACGUUCUCGGGCCUUGUACACACCGCCCGUCACGUCAUGGAAGUGGGUUGCACCAGAAGUGGCUUGUUUAACCUUCGGGAAAACGGUCACCACGGUGUGAUUCACAACUGGGACGAAGUCGUAACAAGGUAGCCCUAGGGGAACCUGGGGCUGGAUCACCUCCUUA
rnacentral:rRNA from 1 species